rnacentral:rRNA from 1 species
CCCUUGGAUGUUCUGGGCCGCACGCGCGCUACACUGAUGCAUGCAACGAGUUCUAUCCUUGGCCGGAAGGCCUGGGUAAUCUGUGAACGUGCAUCGUGAUAGGGAUAGAUUAUUGCAAUUAUUAAUCUUGAACGAGGAAUUCCUAGUAAACGCAAGUCAUCAGCUUGCAUUGAUUACGUCCCUGCCCUUUGUACACACCGCCCGUCGCACCUACCGAUCGAAGGUAAUGAUGAGCCCUCAGGAUUGUGGCCUCGUCGCGUCAGCGUCUUGGCUGCGAGAAUCUGUGCAAAUCCCUACCUUUAGAGGAAGGUGAAGUCGUAACA